CAGCCGCCACGGUAAUACGAAGGGGGCUAGCGUUGCUCGGAAUGACUGGGCGUAAAGGGCGCGUAGGCGGCGGCCAAAGUCAGGCGUGAAAUUCCUGGGCUCAACCUGGGGGCUGCGCUUGAUACUUGGUUGCUUGAGUGGGGAAGAGGGUCGUGGAAUUCCCAGUGUAGAGGUGAAAUUCGUAGAUAUUGGGAAGAACACCGGUGGCGAAGGCGGCGACCUGGUCCUUGACUGACGCUGAGGCGCGAAAGCGUGGGGAGCAAACAGGAUUAGAUACCCGGGUAGUCCCUGUCUCUUAUAA
rnacentral:rRNA from 1 species